rnacentral:rRNA from 1 species
GAUGAACGCUGGCGGCGUGCCUAAUACAUGCAAGUCGAGCGAACGGACGAGAAGCUUGCUUCUCUGAUGUUAGCGGCGGACGGGUGAGUAACACGUGGAUAACCUACUUAUAAUACUGGGAUAACUUCGGGAAACCGUAGCUAAUACCGGAUAAUAUUUUGAACCGCAUGGUUCAAAAGUGAAAGACGGUUUUGCUGUCACUUAUAGAUGGAUCCGCGCUGCAUUAGCUAGUUGGUAAGGUAACGGCUUACCAAGGAAACGAUGCAUAGCCGACCUGAGAGGGUGAUCGGCCACACUGGAACUGAGACACGGUCCAGACUCCUACGGGAGGCAGCAGUAGGGAAUCUUGCGCAAUGGGCGAAAGCCUGACGGAGCAACGCCGCGUGAGUGAUGAAGGUCUUCGGAUCGUAAAACUCUGUUAUUAGGGAAGAACAUAUGUGUAAGUAACUGUGCACAUCUUGACGGUACCUAAUCAGAAAGCCACGGCUAACUACGUG